UUGUUUGCAGAAUUCCAGGCUUGGAAGGAGUCUCCCACUUUGGAUAAAUCGUGUUCUUUCCUGGAGAGAAUUUACCAGGAAGACGUGGGGCCAUGUCUGGACUUCACCAAGCGUGAGCUCUCGGAACUAGUUCAAGCAGCCGUGGAGCAGAACACACUUACCAUUGAACCUGUAGCUACCCAGGCACUUCCUGUAGUGAAAGUGUCAGCCAUUGAAUGCGGUGGACCAAAUGGGUUCCGGUCCCCAGUUGUAACGUAAGUUAUUUCUUUAAGGCCAAUGACAAAAAGAUGUUUGCAUCUUUAAUAAAUUACUAACUCACUUAGUUGUUAAUGGCUUUGAGGCUGGAGCUAGUGAUUAUUUUUUUUUUUUAAAAAAAAAUCCCAAUUGUUAAUCCAUGGAGGAACAGCUCAGUUACAACACUUUGAAACUGGUGGCCUGGAUUUCUGCAGAACAGCCUUUAAAAGCCUGAACAGACCUCUGUAGUUAAUAACUUUCAAAGUUCCACUGGAAUAAUACAUUAACUUAGCUUUCAGAAUAGCUUUCACUUCUCAAACUAUACCUAAUGUUUCACUAACAUCGUCCAGUUUCAAAAACCUUGAUGAAAGAAACCUUUACUUCCUAUAAGUAAUUUGGAAGGCCUUCAUGUCACAUAGCGUAACACCCAGGUUGUUUUCACACUACGUAAUUAUAGCAUUGAUUCCAUUUUAACUGCCAUGGUUUUGUCCUAUGGAAUCAUGGCAUUUACUGUUUAG